rnacentral:rRNA from 1 species
GAUGAACGCUGGCGGCGUGCCUAAUACAUGCAAGUCGAGCGAAUGGAUUAAGAGCUUGCUCUUAUGAAGUUAGCGGCGGACGGGUGAGUAACACGUGGGUAACCUGCCCAUAAGACUGGGAUAACUCCGGGAAACCGGGGCUAAUACCGGAUAACAUUUUGAACCGCAUGGUUCGAAAUUGAAAGGCGGCUUCGGCUGUCACUUAUGGGUGGACCCGCGUCGCAUUAGCUAGUUGGUGAGGUAACGGCUCACCAAGGCAACGAUGCGUAGCCGAACUGGGAGGGUGAUCGGCCACACUGGGACUGAGACACGGCCCAGACUCGUACGGGAGGCAGCAGUAGGGAAUCUUCCGCAAUGGACGAAAGUCUGACGGAGCAACGCCGCGUGAGUGAUGAAGGCUUUCGGGUCGUAAAACUCUGUUGUUAGGGAAGAACAAGUGCCAGUUGAAUAAGCUGGCACCUUGACGGUACCUAACCAGAAAGCUACGGCUAACUACGUGCCAGCCGCCGCGGUAA